rnacentral:rRNA from 1 species
UACAGAGACUGCAAGCGUUAUUCGGAUUCACUGGGCGUAAAGGGUGCGCAGGUGGCCAAGUGUGUUAGGCGUGAAAGCCCGGGGCUUAACCCCGGAAUUGCACCUAAAACUACUUGGCUAGAGCAUUGGAGAGGGGAGCAGAAUUCAUGGUGUAGCGGUGAAAUGCGUAGAUAUCAUGAGGAAUACCAGAGGCGAAGGCGGCUCCCUGGACAAUUGCUGACACUCAGGCACGAAAGCGUGGGGAGCAAAAGGG